AGAGAAAGACGGAGAAGAAGAAGCAGUUU
rnacentral:sRNA from 1 species